GUACUGAUCCAACAGUAUUAUUCUAGAAGUACUAAUCUUCAGUACCAAUCCAUCAGUACUGCCAAACUAACAGUAUUAUUCUAGAAGUACUGAUCUACAGUACCCAUUCUUCAGUACUGAUCCAACAGUAUUAUUCUAUAAGUACUAAUUUACAGUACUGAUCCAACAGUAUUAUUCUAUAAGUACUAAUCUACAGUACCAAUCACAAGACCUUCCGCCACACCAACAGUUUCUUCCCGUCGGCAGUCGGGCUCAUCAACAGAGCCGGUCCCCCUCUGACUGACUAUAACAUUCCACCGGUCACUCCCUUCACACUGCACAUGUCACUUUAACUGUCAUUUAUCACUUUGUCGUCACUCGUCACUUUGUCACUUGUUCGCUAGUGCACUUUAUGCUUAAUAUUUUUUUAACUUUUUUAAUAUUUUAAAUUUUUAACUCUAAUUUUAUUAUCUUGUUUUACACUAACCCAUAGCCUUAUUCUACUAACGCAUUGCAUUAGCAUUUCAUUUUACUUUAUUUUAUUACUUGUGCGCUGUUGUCUAUUGUUACACUGUCUACUGUCACGCACCAACCGCCAAGACAAAUUCCUUGUAUGUUUGACAUAUUUUGGCAAUAAAUGUUUCCUGAUUCCUGAAAUAUAAUAUAAUAUAUACAAAAUAAGGGUCUGUUCAGGGGUGCGAUAUAUCAAAUUGCUGGCGAGGGCAGGACAAUUCCUUUGGAAGUCAUGCGGGUCAUAUUAACCCACACACCUUAGAAGUGGCCAUUGCUGGCUGCACACACAGCACUCGCACACACAUAGAUAUGCACACAUAGACGCACACGGUGUGGCUUAGGGUUUUUAAAGGAACCUCCUCAGGAUGGAAGGGUUAGUUGCUUUGUUUCGUGUGGCCCGUGGUGGGCAGAGGGAGAAAUCCAUUUAGAGAACAAAGAAAUGGUGACUUUAAAAAAAAAAUGAUUUGUCCAAGAGUUUCCUGUGAAUAUAAUGUUGUUUCCACUUGUUUGCACUUUGGGAGAAGCACAAUAAAUUUGCACCACCUCUGCCUGCGACAACGCAGUUACUGUUCAGUAAGUACUGUAGACUGAGGUUUGUGUACCUUUUGUUUUCUCGUUUUUCGUACGGAAGUGGGCGCCCGUUUUAGCGAUUUUCGUUUAGAACCAAAAACGAGACAGAAACUUUUUACUGCAUUAAUCCCUUUUUGGGUUUUGCCUACAAAACCAAAAUACGCUAAACCGCCAGUACGUAGAUUUUCACAGUAAGAGUCAACGCAAUGGAACGUUUGUAUGCUAGAAAUCCCUCUGUGAUGAAUGCGGUUACCAUGGUAACAUUAGAAGAAAAGUUAAUUAAUCAAUAUAAAUAAUGAAUCCUGGUCCGAUGGAAUGUGUGUUAGUAGUAGCACAACAGUAGCCCACCUGUUACUCUUAGCUCUGAUAUUUAUUUUCCACGUAUUGUGUUGCUUCAGUGACAGUGAGGCAGUACAAGGAGAUGCAGAGUAAACUUGUGCACAUCUUUCACGGUCACAGUUUUCAACAGUUUUAAAACUUAAAACCCUCCUCCCAAAACAGGCUUCAGCAGUUAACUAGUGUUAUUUGGCAGGAAAUACAUGUUCUGUAACAGUGUCAUGCUGGUGUGUGCAACAUGCUAACAACAUGCUAAAGAGCAGGUAGUCUUUGCAAUGCUUCCUAACCCAAUGUGCACAGCUCCAGAGAUCACUCUGAGGGUCACAUGGAAGGUAUAGCAAUCAAGAAAAGAGAAUGAAUUUCUUUAUUGUUCUUGUCUAGUGAGAAAAAUGAAAAAUAUAAAAUAUUCUAUGGUCAAAAUGUAUGAAUUCCAUAAAGCCAUUUCCCUCACACCACAGCAUUUGACCAACAUUAUUUCUUAUUAUCUGGGCCCUUUGACCUCUUGGGUCUAACCGUUCGAUUUAGGAUGAAAGAACCAGAAAACAAACGUCUCUAUUCAUAAACUGUCAUUAUUUAUUGCUUAAUAAACACAUGUAUCCUCUUCCAUGAAAUAAAUAUAACAAGAUGUAUAAAAUCUCACAACUCUUUCUUGUAUCUGUUUCUACCAGGCUGAAAUCUCUGGAUUUUUGCCAGAAUGAAAGGUCGCUACCAGUUGUCUUGUAUGGCAGUAUAGUUCUAAUUAUUCUAAUUUAAUGUAAUUUGACCCUUUUAACACUGUGCUUUCUACAAAUUCUUUUCUGGAUAUGAACAUAUUUUUUAUCACCAAACGAUAUGAUCUUGACUGCCUUGAUUUUAUACAUAUUCGACACGAAGAAAAUAUUCAACCUGAUUCUGGGGCGUCAUUCAUACCGAACCGGAACCGGUCUGAGAUGGCAACCGGAUCACGUCAAACUCAUUUCUUUUGUACCGCCGGGUUCAGGCCCAGUUUUUCUUAGAUUAUGGCCCAGUGACGGCAAUGUAUGACGGAAUCGGGGCGGUGUAUUCGGCCUGAUUCUGGGGUGUCAUUCAUCCCGAGCCUGGACUCGGCCCGACGUGUUUCUUCCGGCGUGCCAAGCUCAAGCCAGAACUGGGCCAGGUAAUUUUGGGCCAAAUGUCAAGUCAAUCGUGCAUCAGGGGGAAAAAUGGGCUACUGUGUUACUUUUCAAAUUUCUAGGGGGCGCAAUGGGGACAUUUCUUUAUACCCAAAUAUGAGACCCAAAAAAUAUAAAAGAUUUUUACCAGACCUGGUAUGCAUGUCAAAUUUUUGGGGUAUGAUAACGAUAAAAGAUAAUAAUUAAAGCUGAUGAACGGGCCAUUGCCUGCCCUUGCAUGUCGGGAGGGCUGCCCGACAGUCGGACAUGUGGUCGGAAUACUUUUUUUGUAGAUGUGUAGUACACACCAUUCUGAUUGAGUAGAGGUCCGAAAGAUAUAUUCUGUAAAAUGAAUAUGUAGACUGAACUACUUCUCUUUCCGGGAAAAGAUUCUCCUACACAGAACUUGACUGUUAACUUUGAGACUCUGUGUUAACGUCCACUUUGACUGCAGGAACCUCAGCGUGACGUCGACAGCCGACUCUCCCUGACUCCAACAUCACUGACAACACCAUCCUGUAGAUACACGCUCUACAACAUCAGGAGAACACGUCCUCUUCUCACUCAGAAGGAGGUACUGAUUCAGACUCUUGUCGUCUCCCUCCUGGACUACUGUAACUGUCUCCUGCAGGUCUCCUGCUACCACCAUUCCACCUCUGCAGCUCAUCCAGAAUGCAGCAGCUCCACUGGUCUUUAACCUUCCUAAGUUCUCCCUCACUCCUCCACUCCUCCGCUCUCUUCACUGGUACCGGUGGCUCAUCCAGUUCUAACCAUGGUGCUCACGUACCAUGCUGUGAAUGGAUGGGGUCCAGCUUACAUCCAGGACCUGGUCCAACCCGACAUCCCGACCCGCACUCUCCGCUCUGCAUGUGAUAAACUGCUUGUUCCUCCUCACUGAGAGCAAAACACUCGACUCUUGUUUCUUGUUCUUUCGAGUUUGUAUCCUUAUGGUUGAAAUGCACUUAUUACACCAGUAUACAGCCAUAAUUCUGAAACUAUGUAAUCAAUAAAGAAAUUAGAAUAGUGUAAUAUCACUGUAAUUGUGAAACUGUAAUUGAUAGAAUAAUAAGAAUGCACAGCUAUGGUUGUAACCAACCUGAAAUGCAUGAAAUACUUUGUUUGUUUGACUUUCAUUUCCAAUCCAAGAUGUCUUGUAUGUCUGUUCGUUCGGAGUUUCUUCAUUUUUGAACAGAACAAUAACACUGUGGGUUCACGCCUUCUCUUAACCGGUUGCUGUCCGCUCGGUGUGCUUGUGUGGACGCCUCCACUUUCGGGGGCGUCAGAGGACUGAGGCACCACGAUCGACUAAAAUGUUGGUGACAUUUAUAUGUUACAUGAAUAUAAUAUAUCGCAGCACUAAAAAUGAUAAUUUUCAUAUAUUGUGCUAUAAGUCAAUAUAUUGAUGAUCGCGACAGGCCUAGUGUCAACAAUGAAUCUAAUCAUGAUGGAUCUCUGUGACUCUGAGACAAAGGACGCCCUCUGAUCGAUGGAUGUGACCUCAGAGGAAGCGGGCCAUUUGGUUUGGCGAAGCAGCCAUUAACCAGCUAUUUGAAGUACAGCCAAGGCGUCAUGAUUUAAAGCUGCAUUCUCUGUAGUGACCACCAGGGGUCUUCACCGAGUAGAGAAAAUGACUCUACUUCUCUGUUGAUUUAUUCCCUCAGUAAACAUUAUAAACGUGAGUUUGUGGUCUCAAUCUCUAGUCUUCUUCAAUACAGCAUGAUGCAUGUUUAGUAAAUUAUCAUCCAUUUAGAGACAAACAGACCAUAAAGUAGGGGAUGCUCUAGGGCGGGGCUACACCCCGAGACGUAUACGGCGUCCUUAAUCUUAAUAUAGUCACUUUUUGGUUAAAAUGUCCACAAACCAAUCACAAAGGACUUGGUCCACUUCUUCUACUCUAGUCUAUGGUUCAACAUUUUAGCAAUGAUCCAAUAUUUGAAUGCAGGGCGCCCCCGUUAUAAUGGUAGGGGAAACACUGGAAUGUUUACUUCUGACUAAAGAUGUGAACAUGAUGGAAGAGGUCAUGGGAAAACAUCAACAGGGUCAUUUAAGAGCAGAUAAUGUGUGUGUGUGUGUGUGUGUGUGUGUUGGUCUAUUUAUAGCAGCAGUUUCAGUCAUUACACUGAUUUUCUUCAGUUCAGACAGUCAGUCAUUUAUUUUCUUCUGUUAGUGAUCCUGACCACACUACAUUACCCGGAAUCCUUCCAGGAUUCCAGGAAGCAGGCCAGGCUUUCAGUUUACCACUGCAAGUAUUAUGCUAAGUUGGGCUAGAAACAUCCUGGAUCCGUGUCUAUACUGAUCACAGAGAUUGGUUGGUUCUACUUAACCGUCUCUACAAUCAAUCGGUUCUACUUAGUCUUUGUUGAGUUCCACUCAUCACUGAUGAGGUUCUAGUGAUCAUUAAAAAAGGUUCUACGGGUCAUUGAUGGGGUUCACAUCAACGCUGUGUACAAGAAUGGGAUGGGUCGACUCUUUUUCUUGAGGAAACUUACUUACGAUACUUGUAUGUGUGCAGCAAGAUGUUGGAGAGGAGAAGGGGAGAGGGGGGUUGUCCAUGAGUGUCCAUGAGUACGCCAACUAACCAGAUGCGGCACUGGUUCUUUUAACCAAUCAUCACCUUGCUGUCAAACUUUUUAAGGCGUGAUCUUCGCGGGUCUUUGCAGAUCAAAUCGAAUGCUAGCCUCCUCCAGUCCAGGCACUUCCAGCCACCUUCCGUCCAUACUCCAGGCACCAUCUGCUUGCAGCAACUUCUCGUCUUCACCAACACCAGUGCCUGGACUCCAGGGGGGUUCUGGUGGAGCAGAACUUGAUAAUCAAGCCCCCUUGAUUAUCCGGGUCGAGGAUAGAGUCCAAUCGGCAAUGAUUCACACUAUUUCUUGUAAAGUAAUGUUGAUGCAGAACGCGUCUCUCCUGAUUGAACUACUACUACUACUACUAUUCGGUUGUGGCCAGUGCUCUGUACUUCGCCAUUGUCUGCUGGGGGAGCAGCAUUGGAGCUGGUGACACUAACAGACCUAAGAAGCUGUUGAACAAGGUCGGCUCCAUCAUUGGCUGCCAACAGGAGCAUCCAGAACAGGUGGUGGAGAGGAGGACACUGAAAAAACUGUUGUCAAUAUUGGACAACCCGGGGACCAACCUCUUCACCACCAACUGCAGGGACACGGAGAACCUUCGUACUGUCUGCACCAACCGCCAAGUCAAAUUCCUUGUAUGUCUGACAUACUGUAUUAUGGCAAUAAAUGUUUCCUGAUUCCUCAACAGGAUGAUCCAGAUACAAGAAAAUAUUCCUGCCAACUGCAAUAGGACAAAAAAUCACCUCCGGCUAAAUCAUAAACCAUUACUCAUAACCAUUGUACCACUGUUUCAAUUUAAUUUAAUAUCAAUAACCAUUGGAAUACUGUUUAAUUUAAUUUAAUAUCAAUAACCAUUGCACUAUUUUAUUUAAUUUUAUACCGAUUUCACUCCACAUACUUCUAUUUCACUAAAUAUACUAUCCAGUUUCUACAUGUCUUGGAGGAAUCUCCAGUGAUGAGGUUCUACAUGCCUGUUCUACAAGGUGGUUUGAGUAUUUAGUAGCUUCUGCAUGUCCUCGAGGUGGUCCUAGUAAUCACUGAUGAGGUACAUGUCCUUAAGGUGGUUCUAGAAACCACAGAGGAGGUACAUGUCCUUAAGGUGGUUCUAGAGAUCACUGAUGAGGUUCCACGUGUCCUUAAGGUGGUUUUAGAGAUCACUGAUGAGGUACAUGUCCUUAAGGUGGUUCUAGAGAUCACUGAUGAGGUUCCACGUGUCCUUAAGGUGGUUUUAGAGAUCACUGAUGAGGUACAUGUCCUUAAGGUGGUUCUAGAAACCACUGAUGAGGUUCCAUGUGUCCUUAAGGUGGUUCUAGAGAUCACUGAUGAGGUUCGAUGUGUCCUUAAGGUGGUUCUAGAGAUCACUGAUGAGGUACAUGUCCUUAAGGUGGUUCUAGAGAUCACUGAUGAGGUUCCACGUGUCCUCAAGGUGGUUUUAGAGAUCACUGAUGAGGUACAUGUCCUUAAGGUGGUUCUAGAAACCACUGUUACAUUACAUGUCAUUUAGCUGACGCUUUUAUCCAAAGCGACGUACAAUAAGUGCAUUCAACCAUAGGGUACAAACUCAGGAGAACAAGAAA
ensembl:lncRNA